rnacentral:rRNA from 1 species
UCAGACGAUGCGUCAUGCAUAUCAAUAAGCGGAGGAAAAGAAACUAACAAGGAUUCCCUUAGUAACGGCGAGUGAAGCGGGAAGAGCUCAAAUUUGAAAUCUUCAAGGUUUUACCUUGACGAAUUGUAGUUUAAAGAAGUGUUUUCUGUUGAAGUUUUGGUAAAAGUUCUUUGGAAUAGGACAUCAUAGAGGGUGAGAAUCUCGUAUUUGACCAUUAUUUUCAGCUGUGUGAUACACUUUCAAAGAGUCGGAUUGUUUGGGAAUGCAGUCCAAAAUGGGUGGUAAAUUUCAUCUAAAGCUAAAUAUUGGCGAGAGACCGAUAGCGAACAAGUACCAUGAGGGAAAGAUGAAAAGAACCUUGAAAAGAGAGUUAAACAGUACGUGAAAUUGUCAAAAGGGAAGCGUUUGACACCAGUGUUGUUUUCUCGAAAAUCAAUUAAAAAGAGUUAGAUUUUGUUGUGUAUUGACCUUAACAGCUUGCAUUUCAAUUUUCUUGCUUUUUUUAAUGCACUUUUCGUUUAACAAGUCAACAUCAGUUUCUUUUGUUGUAAAAAGGUCAUUGGAAGGUGGCUUUCUUUUCGGAGAAAGUGUUUAUAGCCUUUGACUCCUGCAAUCGGAGAGACUGAGGUCUGCAGCGUAGAUCCUUCGGGGUUAGAUACAUUUGUGCUAAGUUAUAGCUUUUUAUAGACAACUUGUUGACUAUGAUUAGUCUUGUAGCUUACUCGCUUAUGCUAUUUUACCUACGCUUAGGAUGUUGAGUCGUAGAGCACGCA